AUCACGCCCAGGGUUUCCAUCCAACUAAGGGAGGAGGAGGUUGAGCGGAGUGGCAGCGUGAUGGCGGUGGUUGGGAGGACAUAAGGAAAGGCGGCGGAGCAACAGAGCACUUACUCACCAGGGUUCUCCCUGCCCGGUUUGGGGCCCUAUUGCUCAAGCCGGUGAGAGCUGCAGGCGAGCCCACCGCGUGGGGCUGUAAGGAGCCGGCAGCACAGACCUAGUGGCGGCCACAGGAGCAGUCUCUGACCCUAGGUUGUAGCACAGACCUCUUCGUGGGGUGUAGCGCCGCCUCGGACCGGGGCAGCCCUAAGAAAGCCAAGCCGGGCGCACGCACGCAGGUAAUUUGGGAAAAAUCUUGCAGAGAACAGUUGAGUAAAAAAGUCACCUGGAAAACAGAGUACCAAGAAAUAAUUUCUUGACAUCUGCCUUCUAACCUGAGCGGACUUCUAUUUAUCUUUUAAACUUCUUAAUACUUACAAUGAAUGGGCACAGUGAUGAAGAUGUUGUAAGAAACAGUAGCGGAGAGUCAAGGCUGCACGGCCUUGCUGCAUCCUCCGACAGGAGGCUGUCUGGGGUACAGUGACCAUGAAAUGAUGGAGUUCUCAAUACUUCGUGAAGCAAGGAGGGGUAUCAGCAAAACCUCUACCCUGGACUUUCGGAGGGCAGACUUCAGCCUAUUCAGGAUGCUGAUUGGGAGAGUACCUUGGGAAAUAGCCCUUAAAAACAAAGGGAUCCAGGAAGGAUGGACAUAUUUCAAGAAGGAAAUCUUGAAGGUGCAGGAACAGGAUGUCUCUAUGUGCCAAAAGUCCUGGCUAACCAGGGAGGUCCCUGGAAGUUGACCAGUGUGAUGCCCAUCCACAAGAAGGGCCAGAAGGAAGAUCUGGGAAACUACAGACCUGUCAGCCUGGCCUCAGUGCCCAGCAAGAUUAUGGAGCAGAUCAUCUUGAGUGCGAUCACACAGCACCUAUAGGACACAUGGGGGAUCAGACCCAGCCAGCAGGGAUUUAGGAGGGGCAAGUCCUGCCUGAUCAACCCGAUCUCCUUUUAAGACCAGGUAACCCACCUAGUGGAUGAGGGGAAGGCUGCGGAUGUAGUCUAUCUGGACUUCAGCAAAGCCUUUGACACUGUCUCCCAUGACAUACUCCUGGAAAAGCUGUCGGCCCAUGGCCCAUGGCUUAGACAGGUGCACUCUUCACUGGGUUAAGAACUGGCUGGAUGGCCGGGCCCAGAGAGUGGUGGUGAAUGGUUCUGCAUCCAGUUGGCAGCCAGUGACUAAUCAUGUUCCCCAGGGAUCAAUAUUGGGCCCAGUCCUGUUUAAUAUCUUU